rnacentral:rRNA from 1 species
GACGAACGCUGGCGGCGUGCCUAAUACAUGCAAGUUGAGCGCUGAAGGUUGGUACUUGUACCAACUGGAUGAGCAGCGAACGGGUGAGUAACGCGUGGGGAAUCUGCCUUUGAGCGGGGGACAACAUUUGGAAACGAAUGCUAAUACCGCAUAAAAACUUUAAACACAAGUUUUAAGUUUGAAAGAUGCAAUUGCAUCACUCAAAGACGAUCCCGCGUUGUAUUAGCUAGUUGGUGAGGUAAAGGCUCACCAAGGCGAUGAUACAUAGCCGACCUGAGAGGGUGAUCGGCCACAUUGGGACUGAGACACGGCCCAAACUCCUACGGGAGGCAGCAGUAGGGAAUCUUCGGAAAUGGACGAAAGUCUGACCGAGCAACGCCGCGUGAGUGAAGAAGGUUUUCGGAUCGUAAAACUCUGUUGGUAGAGAAGAACGUUGGUGAGAGUGGAAAGCUCAUCAAGUGACGGUAACUACCCAGAAAGGGACGGCUAACUACGUG